CUGCAAGUGGGGAAGGGUCUGUGCUUGGAGGUCUCUCCCUUUUGGAGUUUUCCCUGCAAGCUGAGCUCUUUAGAGAUAGGUAUUCUUUAAUAGUUCUAUGAGCUCUUUCUAUCAUCGCUUGACCCGUGGGACUAUGAGGAAUUCCAGUGACAUGCUUUACCCCCCACAUCUGCAAGAACCUGUGAACCCAACCUCCCGUAUUCAUCGGACCAUUAUCUGUUUUUAUCUCCUGAGGCAUGCCCAUGACUGCAAAGCAAGCCGUCAAAUGCCUCACCACAUGGGUUGCCUUUUCACCAGCCUGUGCCAUAGCCCACACCAUUCUAGAAAACGUAUCAAUGGAUACAUGUACAUACUUUAACCUCCCAAAUUCUGGCACGAGUGACAUUCAUCUGCCAAAUCUCACAGGCUUGUAAACCCUUUGGAUUAACUCCUAGACCUAGGCUAGACCC
rnacentral:lncRNA from 1 species